UACGUAGGGUGCAAGCGUUGUCCGGAAUUAUUGGGCGUAAAGAGCUCGUAGGCGGUUUGUUGCGUCGGCUGUGAAAUCCCGAGGCUCAACCUCGGGUCUGCAGUCGAUACGAGCAAACUAGAGUGUUGCAGGGGAGACUGGAAUUCCUGGUGUAGCGGUGAAAUGCGCAGAUAUCAGGAGGAAUACCGGUGGCGAAGGCGGAUCUCUGGGCCUUGCCUGACGCUGAGGCGCGAAAGCUAGGGGAGCGAACAGG
rnacentral:rRNA from 1 species